rnacentral:lncRNA from 1 species
GUUCAUCUCUACCAGCUAAACUCUUACCAGAUUUUCAAGGCUCAUCUUAUGCAAAUCUCUGCUUUUUUGAGACUCAUCCAUCUGGCUUUACCACUGACUUGCCAUGAUUCUGGUUACCUACACUUUUCUGUUUACUUUUCUUCAUUCACUGGAAACUUUAGCUCCCAGGAUUAGAUUUCAUAUCUACAUAAAUCCCUAAUACCAUCCUGGGAGACACCCAGCCAGAUGACAUGUCUAGUUGCUUUAACAUCUCAUUUCCAGCAAUGACAAACUUAUUUUAAAAUGAUAAUAACAAUUAUAAUAUUAAUAACAACAAUAGGUUACAUUGAGUACUUACUAUGUUUGAGGCACUAUGUAAAGCCCUUUAAUAUCAGUUGUUUCUCAUUUUCCUUAUCUUGCACCUGCAGUUUUCAAGAUUAUUGACUUCCAUACAGCAAAACAUCUUUUUCCCUAUUACUUUGUCGUGGACAGAUCACUAUCCCUCCACUGUCACUCUUCAUCAUUGUCCACUUUUCUGUGUAUCCUAGGAGAUAAAUCAAUAUGAACUGCAUCCAUGGGUUCCUUUGCUUUUUGGAUGACAGCAGGCAUUGAUAGGAGAUGAUACAGUUUGGCUGUGUCCCCACUCAAAUCUUACCUUUGAAUUGUGAUAAUUCUCACAUGUCCUGGGAGGGACCUGGUGGGAGGUAAUUGAAUCAAGGGGGUAGGUCUUUCAUGCGUUUUUCUUGUGAUAGUGAACAAGGCUGAUGAGAUCUGAUGGUUUUAUAAGGAGGUUUCUGCUGCCAUGUAAAAUGACACUUUGCUCCUCGUUAACCUUCCAUCAUGACAGUGAGGCCUCCACAGCCAUGUGAAACUGAGGAAUUUGGACACAGAGACGGACACUCCCAGAAGAAAUACAAUGUGAAGACACACAGGGAGAAGAUAGCCUUGUACCAGGAAGAUGCAUCUGCAGACCAACAAAUGCCAAGGAUUGCCAGAGAACACCAGAAACUGGAAGAAUCAAGGAAGGAUUCUCCCCUGGAGCCAUCAGAGACAACGUGACCUAAUAUCACCUGGAUUUCUCACUACUAGCUUUCAGAACUGUGAGAUAAUAAAUUUUUGUUGCUUUGAGAUAAUGGUAAUUUGUUCACAGCAAUCUUAGCAAACUAACACACUCUACAUGCAAGUAUUAACAUAGUUUUCUUUUUCUUCCUCUGAAUUUCAUGUUAGUAUAAUUCAUUUUCCUUGGUUUAUAAUCACAAAAUCCUCAAGAGAAAAUUAUUUCUACAAAUCAGCAUUAAUAGUUGUAAUUUUGAAAACUUUUUUAGAAUUACACUUUAUGUUCUGGGACACAUAUGCAGAAUGUGUAGGUUUGUUACACAGGUAUACGCAUGCCAUGGUGGUUUGCUGCACACAUCAACCCACCAACUACAUUAGGUAUUUCUCCCAAUGGUGUCCCUCCCCUAGUUCCCCACACCCCAAAAGGUUCCAGUGUGUGAUGUUCCCCUCCCUGUGUCUAUACAUUCUC